UAGGGAAUCUUCCGCAAUGGACGCAAGUCUGACGGAGCAACGCCGCGUGAGUGAAGAAGGAUUUCGGUUCGUAAAACUCUGUUGUUAGAGAAGAACAGCGCAUAGAGUAACUGUUAUGCGUGUGACGGUAUCUAACCAGAAAGCCACGGCUAACUACGUGCCAGCAGCCGCGGUAAUACGUAGGUGGCAAGCGUUGUCCGGAUUUAUUGGGCGUAAAGCGAGCGCAGGCGGUCAAUUAAGUCUGAUGUGAAAGCCCCCGGCUCAACCGGGGAGUGUCAUUGGAAACUGGUUGACUUGAGUGCAGAAGAGGAGAGUGGAAUUCCAUGUGUAGCGGUGAAAUGCGUAGAUAUAUGGAGGAACACCAGUGGCGAAGGCGACUCUCUGGUCUGUAACUGACGCUGAGGCUCGAAAGCGUGGGUAGCAAACAGG
rnacentral:rRNA from 1 species